CCUACGGGGGGCAGCAGUGGGGAAUAUUGCACAAUGGGGGAAACCCUGAUGCAGCGACGCCGCGUGAGUGAAGAAGUACUUCGGUACGUAAAGCCCUGUCAGCAGGGAAGAAAAUGACGGUACCUGACGAAGAAGCCCCGGCUAACUACGUGCCAGCAGCCGCGGUAAUACGUAGGGGGCAAGCGUUAUCCGGAUUUACUGGGUGUAAAGGGGGCGUAGACGGCAGUGCAAGGCUGGAGUGAAAUCCCAGGGCUUAACCAUGGGACUGCUUUGGAAACUGUGCAGCUAGAGUGCAGGAGGGGUAGGCGGAAUGCCUGGUGUAGCGGUGAAAUGCGUAGAUAUUAGGAGGAACACCGGUGGCGAAGGCGGCCUACUGGACUGUAACUGACGUUGAGGCUCGAAAGCGUGGGGAGCAAACAGGAUUAGAUACCCCAGUAGUC
rnacentral:rRNA from 1 species